UACGUAGGGGGCAAGCGUUGUCCGGAAUCAUUGGGCGUAAAGAGCGCGUAGGCGGUCCGGUAAGUCCGCUCUGAAAGCCCGGGGCUCAACCCCGGGAGGCGGGCGGAUACUGUCGGGCUAGAGUCCGGAAGAGGCGAGUGGAAUUCCUGGUGUAGCGGUGAAAUGCGCAGAUAUCAGGAGGAACACCAAUGGCGAAGGCAGCACUCUGGGACGUGACUGACGCUGAGACGCGAAAGCGUGGGGAGCAAACAGG
rnacentral:rRNA from 1 species